UACAGAGGGGGCAAGCGUUGUUCGGAAUUACUGGGCGUAAAGGGCGCGUAGGCGGCCCGCUAAGUCGAACGUGAAAUCCCCGGGCUUAACCUGGGAACUGCAUUGGUGACUGGCAGGCUUUGAGUGUGGCAGAGGGAGGUAGAAUUCCACGUGUAGCAGUGAAAUGCGUAGAGAUGUGGAGGAAUACCGAUGGCGAAGGCAGCCUCCUGGGCCAACACUGACGCUCAUGCACGAAAGCGUGGGGAGCAAACAGG
rnacentral:rRNA from 1 species